ACUCAGCGAUCUCAAUGCCUGCCCGGUGACCGGUCAUGGCACCAACCCCAGCACCAGCGGUUCACCCAACGU
rnacentral:sRNA from 1 species